GACGAACGCUGGCGGCGUGCUUAACACAUGCAAGUCGAGCGGUAAGGCCCUUUCGGGGGUACACGAGCGGCGAACGGGUGAGUAACACGUGGGUGACCUGCCCUUAGCUCUGGGAUAAGCCUGGGAAACUGGGUCUAAUACCGGAUAUGACUCCAUGACGCAUGUUGUGGGGUGAAAGCCUUGUGCGGCUAGGGAUGGGGCCCGCGGCCUAUCAGCUUGUUGGUGGGGUNAUGGCCUACCAAGGCGACGACGGGUAGCCGGCCUGAGAGGGCGACCGGCCACACUGGGACUGAGACACGGCCCAGACUCCUACGGGAGGCAGCAGUGGGGAAUCUUGCGCAAUGGGCGAAAGCCUGACGCAGCGACGCCGCGUGGGGAUGAC
rnacentral:rRNA from 1 species